rnacentral:lncRNA from 10 species
UGUCCAUGAAAUCUUCACAAUCUACAUUCUUCUGCCAUGGCUUCAGCCGGUCCCUCCAUUUGGGGUCCCUGACUUCCCGCAACACCUGUUUAUAAUCUCACAGUUCUGAAGGUCUGAACUUCUGAAAGUCUGAAGUCUAAAGCACCUUGACUGGAUUCUCUUCUCAGGGUCUCAUUAAACUUGAAUCAGCGUAUUAUAUCUGCUGGGGCUGUCAGCUAAGUCUCGGGGUCCACCUCCAAACUCACUGAUUGUUGGCAGAAGUGAUUUUCUUCGAAUGCUUUCCCCACAUUGUCCUCUUUACCAUCAAGCCAGCAACGGUGGGUCAGUGGGUUGAGUCUUUCUCGUGCUUUUAAUCUCUUUUUCCUUCGCUACCAGCCAGAGAAAGCGCUAUGCUUUUGAUGGCAGCUGUGGCCUAUCUAGAGCAGCUGCUGCCAUGACGCAGGUUGCAGUGGGGGAGGCGCGCAGGGGCUCCACAGAGCCACCUGGAGCCAGGAACAGGAGGGAUCCCCGCCCUUUUCUGAAUUGGAGGGUCGGGAGGCCAGCCCUCCCAGCUGCAGCCAACUAGUCUCAGCUACAGACCUGGACAUGCCUGCGCUAGGGGGCCCGGGAAGCCCCCUUCCCCUGCAGGCUCUGAAGUGCCUGCUCCUACUGCCUGGCCUCUCCCGGCUCCCGGUGCCCACUCCGAUUUUGGAGCAAAGUUGAGGCUGAGCCCGAGUGCUGUCACGAUCCUACUGGGUGUGCACGCACUCGAGCCAGCGCUGACACACCAGUCCCCCUGCCGCCUUGGCCCGUUCUAGGAUUUGGGACACCAAUGAGCAUGAGAGGGAGCUGAGGUGGGGGCUGAGGGCAGCUCAGCAUGGGCCUGCAGGCACCCCUCAGCGGGAACAGCCUGGGAAAUAUGGGCACCAUGGAGGGUAGGUUGAUGGCAGCAGGAGGCAGACAGGCUCCUGGGUGGAAAGGGGUGUGUCCCCAGUUAAGCCCCACCUUCAAGCUAGUGAGUGUCAGAAGCUUGGAGACUGAGCUGCCAGUUCCACUGCCCCGAGUAAGAACUUGUGGCUUUUUCCGGGACAGCCCAUGGCCACCCAUGGACCAAUCAGCAGGCACUUCUUCCCCUCUGAAGCCCAUAAAAACCCCAGACUUAGACAGACUGGCAGACGAUGGGACCACCUGCCUGCUGAUAGAAUCUACCCACUCCGGGUCUCCUGAGAACUCUUCUGGCUCUCAGUGAAGCUCCUCUCCACCUUGCUCACCCUCCAGUUUUCUGUGUACCUCAUUCUUCCUGGACACGGAACAAGAACUCGGAUUUGAUGAAAGGCAAAACUAAAAGAGCUGUAACACAAACAGGAUGUGAGCUUUGCAAAAACCUUUGAGAAAUGGAAUCUAUUUCUCAGAAAUGAAUGAAGACUAAUGCACACAUCGCAUUCAUCAUAAAAAGUGCUUCUUAAAUAUCAAAUAGUGGUUGGUGUGCAACAAGUGUGGAGAAGCAGAAGACAUAUGGACUAUGUUUACUGUCUGGGCCUAUGAUAAAA